CUCGUUGGUGACAGCGGAGGGAUCAUUACCGAGUUUACAACUCCCAAACCCCUGUGAACAUACCUAUACGUUGCCUCGGCGGAUCAGCCCGCGCCCCGUAAAAAGGGACGGCCCGCCCGAGGACCCCUAAACUCUGUUUUUAGUGGAACUUCUGAGUAAAACAAACAAAUAAAUCAAAACUUUCAACAACGGAUCUCUUGGUUCUGGCAUCGAUGAAGAACGCAGCAAAAUGCGAUAAGUAAUGUGAAUUGCAGAAUUCAGUGAAUCAUCGAAUCUUUGAACGCACAUUGCGCCCGCCAGUAUUCUGGCGGGCAUGCCUGUUCGAGCGUCAUUUCAACCCUCAAGCUCAGCUUGGUGUUGGGACUCGCGGUAACCCGCGUUCCCCAAAUCGAUUGGCGGUCACGUCGAGCUUCCAUAGCGUAGUAAUCAUACACCUCGUUACUGGUAAUCGUCGCGGCCACGCCGUAAAACCCCAACUUCUGAAUGUUGACCUCGGAUCAGGUAGGAAUACCCGCUGAACUUAAGCAUAUAUAAA
rnacentral:rRNA from 1 species